AGCGUCAUUACACCCCUCAAGCGUAGCUUGGUGUUGGGUCCUCGCCCCCGAGGCGGGCCCGAAACGCAGUGGCGGUCCGACGUGACUUCAAGCGUAGCAAAAUUUCUCCCGCUUAGCGAGUCCGCGCCGUGGCCGGCCAGAACCCCCCAUUCUUCUCAAGAAUUGACCUCGGAUCAGGUAGGGAUACCCGCUGAACUUAA
rnacentral:misc_RNA from 1 species